CCUACGGGGGGCGGCAGCUAAGAAUCUUCCGCAAUGGACGCAAGUCUGACGGAGCGACGCCGCGUGAACGAUGAAGGCCGUGAGGUUGUAAAGUUCUUUUCCGGGGGGGAAUAAGGAUGGCAGGGAAUGGCCGUCCGAUGACGUGAACCCGGGAAUAAGCCCCGGCUAACUACGUGCCAGCAGCCCCGGUCA
rnacentral:rRNA from 1 species